ensembl:lncRNA
UUUUAGAAGCCAAAUUGCUUUCCAAAUUCAAGAUACAUCACAGUUUUCUACCAUCCCAACUGACGUUUGUUUUACAGUGCACACCUUUCAACCUCAGAAGAGGUGCCUGGGAAGCAGUCUGGAUAGUUAGUAACACAAUUUCUGCAAGGACCAUACUACUAAAGGCUGGCUCCCUUCCAAAGAAGAGAUUUGGAGGAAACAAAAGCUGGCAAAAGUGAUGCUGUAGAUGAAGAACAUGCAGACAGCUGGGCUUAUAACCAAAUGGGAGAGUUAACUUGCAGAAAAACAGGCUAUCUCCAGCCCGAGCAGAGAGGUGAAAUCUUGACAUCACUGAAGGCGCACUGCUGUUCUGCAGGAGAGGUGGCUGUGAGAUACCAGCCAGGUACAGGCACUGGUGGCAGGCUGUGAUUCACCUGUGAAAUCACCUGUAACUACCGCAGGUUGGGUUGCCAUUUCCUCCUCGCAGUGGCUGCAAGGGGGACGCUGCCAGCAAGGUGCUGGCUGCUGUGUCGCAGUGCAACCCUCCAGCACUCCGUGCCACCUGAGCCAUGUGCCAGGGACUGAACAUGCACCUGCAGUUGGCUGCUCUGAGAGAGGCCUGAGCUGGCGAUCCUGUGGCCAUAGCGUAAUGCGAGGCAGUAAGCUGCGUUGGUAUUAGAAUACACUUUUUCAGGCUUCAUACCUACUUGGCUGAGAACGAUAUGCAUGUGCGUAUAUGUAUGCUUGGAGAGGAAAAUCUGUAUAAGCAGCAUUAAACAGAGGAUGUAAUACAUCACUAGGAUGUGAGAGUUGGUGCUUUUUGUGUUUGAUAUCACCACACUUACGUAGAAUUGAAAUAACAAAGCCCAGAAUGUCAUGGGCUCACACACACAGUCUGCUGCAUCUUGUUCUUAUGCGUCACCUCUAUACACGCAGUCGCAUACGUUAACUUGCUUCAGAGGAAAAGAAACACAGACGCAAAUCAAUGUGUUUCUGGACAGCAGCACGCAGGUGGGAGCUCUGUUCUGUGCUGGGAACUUCCCUGGUGGUCAGAUUCACGUUGUCAUGGACAGCACCU